UUCUUCCUCAGGGACUACAUGCCACAGACC
rnacentral:piRNA from 1 species